rnacentral:rRNA from 1 species
AUUGAACGCUGGCGGCAGGCCUAACACAUGCAAGUCGAACGAGUGGCGGACGGGUGAGUAAUGUCUGGGAAACUGCCUGAUGGAGGGGGAAAACUACUGGAAACGGUAGCUAAUACCGCAUACCAUCGGAUGUGCCGAGAUGGGAUUAGCUAGUAGGUGGGGUAAAGGCUCACCUAGGCGACGAGCCCUAGCUGGUCUGAGAGGAUGACCAGCCACACUGGAACUGAGACACGGUCCAGACUCCUACGGGAGGCAGCAGUUGGGAAUAUUGCACAAGGGGCGAAAGCCUGAUGCAGCCAUGCCGCGUGGAUGAAGAAGGCCGUCGGGUUGUAAAGUACUUUCAGUGGGGAGGCGUUACCCGCAGAAGAAGCACCGGCUAACUCCGUGCCAGCAGCCGCGGUAAUAC